rnacentral:rRNA from 1 species
GACGAACGCUGGCGGCGUGCUUAACACAUGCAAGUCGAGCGAGGCCCACCUUUCGGGGUGGUGUCCUAGCGGCGAACGGGUGAGUAACACGUGAGCAAUCUGCCCAUCACUUCGGGAUAACUCCGGGAAACCGAAGCUAAUACCGAAUACGACCACCUCCGGCAUCGGAUGGUGGUGGAAAGUUCCGGCGGUGAUGGAUGAGCUCGCGGCCUAUCAGCUUGUUGGUGGGGUAACGGCCCACCAAGGCUUCGACGGGUAGUCGGCCUGAGAGGGUGACCGGCCACACUGGGACUGAGACACGGCCCAGACUCCUACGGGAGGCAGCAGUGGGGAAUAUUGGACAAUGGGCGAAAGCCUGAUCCAGCAACGCCGCGUGAGGGAUGACGGCCUUCGGGUUGUAAACCUCUUUCAGCAGGGACGAAGCGCAAGUGACGGUACCUGCAGAAGAAGCACCGGCCAACUACGUGCCAGCCGCCGCGGUAAUAC